AUUUCUUGUUAGAUUGUUGUUUCAUAAAAUUAUUCUUAUUCCCUAUACCAAAAGUAUCAAACACUUAACUAUAUAAUACCUAAAACCAUUUGGAAGUAACAAUAAAAUACGUUUAUCACUUAUAUUUUCAUUGGAUAUUAAAAUAACACAGAUAAUGAAUAUGUAAAACA